rnacentral:tRNA from 1 species
GCUCCCGUAGCUCAGUAGGAUAGAGCGACGCCCUCCUAAGGCGUAGGUCGGAGGUUCGACUCCUCUCGGGUGCGCCA